rnacentral:lncRNA from 1 species
UCUAGGGUUCGUUCCCUAAUUUUAUUUUUCACUCACUCCUAAACCCAGUAUUGUACUUUCAGUACGAAGUAUUCUUCCCCAUAUAUACUUAGGAAUUUUCCUAAAUAUUUUACGAUUUUUUGAAAAAAAAGGAAUAAAAUAUACAAGAAAUGCCAAGUGGCAGUGCUGGAGUGGGGAACUGCAAACCUCAGCGACACGCGGCACAUUCACAUGCCAC